rnacentral:rRNA from 1 species
GACGAACGCUGGCGGCGUGCUUAACACAUGCAAGUCGAACGGAAAGGCCCUGCUUUUGUGGGGUUCUCGAGUGGCGUACGGGUGAGUAACACGUGAGUAACCUGCCCUUGACUUUGGGAUAACUUCAGGAAACUGGGGCUAAUACCGGAUAGGAGCUCCUGCUGCAUGGUGGGGGUUGGAAAGUUUCGGCGGUUGGGGAUGGACUCGCGGCUUAGCAGCUUGUUGGUGGGGUAGUGGCUUACCAAGGCUUUGACGGGUAGCCGGCCUGAGAGGGUGACCGGCCACAUUGGGAAUGGGAGGCGGCCGAGACGCCUAUGGGGGGAAGGAGGGGGGAAUAGUGCACAAUGGGCGGAAGCGUGAUGCAGCAACGCCGCGUGCGAGAUGCCGGCCUUCGGGAUGAAAACCGCUGUCGCUUAUGACGAAGGGUGAGUGAGGGAAAUGGGUAAAAAACCACGGGAUAACUACG